rnacentral:rRNA from 1 species
CCCCAAUGGGCGCAAGCCUGAGGGAGCGACGCCGCGUGGGGGAUGAAGGUCUUCGGGAUCGUAAACCCCUGUUGCCCGGGACGAAGUUCUGACGGUACCGGGUGAGGAAGCUCCGGCUAACUACGUGCCAGCAGCCGCGGUAAUACGUAGGGAGCGAGCGUUGCUCGGAAUUACUGGGCGUAAAAGGGUGUGUAGGUGGACAUGCAAGUCCAGGGUGAAAU